UGGGGAAUAUUGCACAAUGGGCGGAAGCCUGAUGCAGCGACGCCGCGUGGGGGAUGAAGGCCUUCGGGUUGUAAACUCCUUUCGACAGGGACGAAGCUUUUGUGACGGUACCUGUAUAAGAAGCACCGGCUAACUACGUGCCAGCAGCCGCGGUAAUACGUAGGGUGCGAGCGUUGUCCGGAAUUACUGGGCGUAAAGAGCUCGUAGGUGGUUUGUUGCGUCGUCUGUGAAAUUCCGGGGCUUAACUCCGGGCGUGCGGGCGAUACGGGCUGACUUGAGUGCUGUAGGGGAGACUGGAAUUCCUGGUGUAGCGGUGAAAUGCGCAGAUAUCAGGAGGAACACCGAUGGCGAAGGCAGGUCUCUGGGCAGUAACUGACGCUGAGGAGCGAAAGCAUGGGUAGCGAACAGGAUUAGAUACCCUGGUAGUCCAUGCCGUAAACGGUGGGCGCUAGGUGUAGGGGGCUUCCACGUCUUCUGUGCCGUAGCUAACGCAUUAAGCGCCCCGCCUGGGGAGUACGGCCGCAAGGCUA
rnacentral:rRNA from 1 species